GAUGAACGCUGGCGGCGUGCCUAAUACAUGCAAGUCGAGCGAACAGAUGAGUUUCUUGCUCCUCUGACGUUAGCGGCGGACGGGUGAGUAACACGUGGAUUACCUACCUAUAAGACUUGGAUUACUUCGGGUAACCGUAGUUACUACCGGAUAAUAUUUUUAACCGCAUGGUUCUAUAGUGAAAGACGGUUUUGCUGUCACUUAUCGAUUUAUCCGCUCCGCAUUAGCUAGUUGGUAAGGUAACGGCUUACCAAGGCAACGAUGCGUAGCCGAGGUGAGCGGGUGAAGGGGCACACUGGAACUGAGACACGGUACAGACUCCGACGGGAGGCAGAGAUAGGGAAUGGUCCGAAAUGGGCGAAAGACUGAAGGAGCAGCGGAGCGUGAGUGAUGAAGGGCUUCGGAUCGUAAAACUCUGUUCUUAGGGAAGAACAAAUGUGUAAGUAACUAUGCACGGCGUGACGGUACCUAAUAAGAAAGCCACGGCUAACUACGUG
rnacentral:rRNA from 1 species